CCGUAAACGGUGGGUGCUAGUUGUGGGUCACAUUCCACGUGAUCCGUGACGAAGUUAACACAUUAAGCACCCCGCCUGGGGAGUACGGUCGCAAGACUAAAACUCAAAGGAAUUGACGGGGGCCCGCACAAGCGGCGGAGCAUGCGGACUAAUUCGAUGCAACGCGAAGAACCUUACCAAGGCUUGACAUAUACAGGAAAAGCGUAGAAAUACGCUCCCCGCAAGGUCUGUAUACAGGUGGUGCAUGGUUGUCGUCAGCUCGUGUCGUGAGAUGUUGGGUUAAGUCCCGCAACGAGCGCAACCCUCGUCCUAUGUUGCCAGCACGUGGGAACUCAUGGGAGACUGCCGGGGUCAACUCGGAGGAAGGUGGGGAUGACGUCAAAUCAUCAUGCCCCUUAUGUCUUGGGCUUCACGCAUGCUACAAUGGCCAGUACAAAGGGCUGCGAUACCGUAAGGUGGAGCGAAUCCCAUAAAGCUGGUCUCAGUUCGGAUUGAGGUCUGCAACUCGACCUCAUGAAGUCGGAGUCGCUAGUAAUCGUAGAUCAGCAACGCUACGGUGAAUACGUUCCCGGGCCUUGUACACACCGCCCGUCAAGUCACGAAAGUCGGUAACACCCGAAGCCGGUGGCCUAACCGUAAGGAAGGAGCCGUCGAAG
rnacentral:rRNA from 1 species